GCUGUACUCGGGUCUGGAGGAUAAAGGCUUCCUGCUGCAGCUCUGUGAGGUUGGGCUCAUCACACAGUUUGAAGGACUGCUCAGCACCUACAGUGAUGAGGUGGGUAUGUUAGAGGAUAUGGAGAUGGGAGUAUCAGACCUGAAUAGAGUCUCCUUCAAAAUAACUGAAGCCAAAUCAGAACAACCCACAGAUCUACUGCCCUCUGUCACUGGACUACGGGGUUGUUUUUGUGUGGAAGUCCCUUGCCAUCGG